CCUACGGGGGGCAGCAGUGAGGAAUAUUGGUCAAUGGGCGCGAGCCUGAUCCAGCCAAGCAGCGUGAAGGAUGACUGCCCUACGGGUUGUAAACUUCUUUUAUAAAGGAAUAAAGUGAGGCACGUGUGCCUUUUUGUAUGUACUUUAUGAAUAAGGAUCGGCUAACUCCGUGCCAGCAGCCGCGGUAAUACGGAGGAUCCGAGCGUUAUCCGGAUUUAUUGGGUUUAAAGGGAGCGUAGAUGGGUUGUUAAGUCAGUUGUGAAAGUUUGCGGCUCAACCGUAAAAUUGCAAUUGAUACUGGCAGUCUUGAGUACAGGUGAGGUAGGCGGAAUUCGUGGUGUAGCGGUGAAAUGCUUAGAUAUCACGAAGAACUCCGAUGGCGAAGGCAGCUUACUAAACUGCCACUGACAUUGAGGCUCGAAGGUGUGGGUAUCAAACAGGAUUAGAUACCCUAGUAGUC
rnacentral:rRNA from 1 species